rnacentral:misc_RNA from 1 species
GAUGAAGAACGUAGCGAAAUGCGAUAAGUAGUGUGAAUUGCAGAAUUCAGUGAAUCAUCGAAUCUUUGAACGCACAUUGCGCCCCUUGGUAUCCCGAGGGGCAUGCCUGUUCGGGCGUCAUUUCACCACUCAAGCCUGGCUUGGUGUUGGGCGACGUCCCCUUUAGGGACGCGCCUCGAAACGCUCGGCGGCGUGGCACCGGCUUUAAGCGUAGCAGAAUCUUUCGCUUUGGAAGUCGGGGCCCCGCCUGCCGGAAUACCUACUCGUAAGGUUGACCUCGGAUCAGGCAGGGAUACCCGCUGAACUUAAGCAUAUCAAUAAGCGGAGGA